rnacentral:sRNA from 1 species
AUUAGGAGUGUUUACACAACACUUAUACCCAUUUUGUCCCAAAAGAGGCUAAAACCAACAAACAAUUGCUUAGAAGUAGUAAAUAGCUUUGUUAGUGUUUCUAUGGUAAAAAUGUUUCACAAUCCAAUGCAUUUGACUAGUUAUAAGAGAUAAAGAUAGAUUAGGAGUGUUUGGACAACACUUAUACCCAUUUUCUCCCAAAAGAGGCUAAAACCAACAAAAAAUAACUAAGAAGCAGUAAAUAGCUUUGUUAGUGUUUCUAUGGUCAAAAUGUGUCACAAUCCAAAGCCUUUAACUAAUUAUAAGAGUUAGAGAUGGAUUAGGAGUGUUUAGACAACACUUAUACCCAUUUUGUCCCAAAAGAGGCUAAAACCAACAAAAAAUUGCUUAAAAGCAGUAAAUAGCUUUGUUAGUGUCUCUAUGGUCAAAAUGUGUCACAAUCCAAAGCCUUUAACUAAUUAAAAGAGUCAGAGAUGGAUUAGAAGUGUUUAGACAACACUUAUACCCAUUUUCUCCCAGAAGAGGCUAAAACCAACAAAAAAUAACUAAGAAGCAGUAAAUAGCUUUGUUAGUGUUUCUAAGGUCAAAAUGUGUCACAGUCCAAAGCCUUUAACUAAUUAUAAGAGUUAGAGAUGGAUUAGGAGUGUUUAGACAACACUUAUACCCACUUUGUCCCAAAAGAGGCUAAAACCAACAAAAAAUAACUUAAAAGCAGUAAAUAGCUUUGUUAGUGUUUCUAUGGUCAAAAUGUGUCACAAUCCAAAGCCUUUAACUAAUUAUAAGAGUUAGAGAUGGAUUAUGACUGUUUAGACAACACUUAUACCCAUUUUCUCCGAAAACAGACUAAAACCAACAAAAAAUUGCUUAAAAGCACUAACCAGUUUUUUUAGUGUUUUUAUGGUCAAAAUGUGUCACAAUCUAAUGCAUUUGACUAAUUAUAAGAGUUAGGGAUGGAUUAGAGUGUUUAGACAACACUUAUACCCAUUUUCUCCAAAAGAGGCUAAAACCAACAAAAAAUUGCUUAGAAGUACUAAACAGUUUUGUUAGUGUUUUUAUGGUCAAAAUGUGUAAGAAUCCAAUGCAUUUGACUAAUUAUAAGAGUUAGAGAUGGAUUAGGAGUGCUUAGACAAUACUUAUACCCAUUUUCUCCCAAAAGAGGCUUAAACCAACAAAACAUUGCUUAGAAGCAGUAAACAGUUUUGUAAGUGUUUUUAUGGUCAAAAUGUGUCAGAAUCCAAUGCAUUUGACUAAUUAUAAGAGUUAGAGAUGGAUUAGGAGUGCUUAGACAAUACUUAUACCCAUUUUCUCCCAAAAGAGGCUUAAACCAACAAAACAUUGCUUAGAAGCAGUAAACAGUUUUGUAAGC